UUCGUCUCCUUCUUUCUCUUUCGAUCUCAUCUCCUUCUUUCUCCUGUUCUUCUCCUUCGUUCUCAUCUCCUUCUCUCUCUUUUUCUCUUUUGUUCUUCCCCGAUUCUCGUCCAAUUAAUUGAAUACCACCUUCGAUCUCAUCCCCUUCUUGUUCGAUCUACAUCAACAUCAACAGCAAUUUCUGGGUAUUUUUCGAGGUGAUUUCUGGGUUGUUUUAUUUUUAAAUUGCUUUCGAUCUCAUCUCCUAUUAAAGAUGAUGAAGAUUUUGAAGUUUGGAGACUACUUUGAGAAAUUAUUCAUGCUUGACCUCUAGAGACAUUAUUCAUGCUUGACCUCUAGAGACAGCAUCAUGGUGGCAUAUAACAACAAGAAGUAUUACAUUAACAUUACUGAAACAAAGCCCUCUCAUGCAAUCAGUAUAAUCGAGACAGACUGUGAGGUGGACUUUGCCCCUCCUCUUAAUUAUAAAGAGCCUGAAAGACCUGCAAUAUCUGCUCCUGGCAAGGCACAUCUCAAGGUGGCUGUCGGAAGAUGUUAUCUAUACGCAAGGCUGCUGCUGCCUCGCCAAGGCUCGCUGCUACAGUUGCUGCCUCGCCAGGUUUUACAUUGGUGAUUUGGUGUGACUUGUAAUUAACAGUGACUUGUAUUUUAUUUUUUUUGGGACCAAAAUUGUAAUAUUACAACCUUUUUUUA